rnacentral:rRNA from 1 species
ACCUGCCCUUAACUCUGGGAUAUUUUGGGAAACUGGGUCUAAUACCGGAUAUGACUCCUCAUCGCAUGGUGGGGGGUGGAAAGCUUUUUGUGGUUUUGGAUGGACUCGCGGCCUAUCAGCUUGUUGGUGAGGUAAUGGCUUACCAAGGCGACGACGGGUAGCCGGCCUGAGAGGGUGACCGGCCACACUGGGACUGAGACACGGCCCAGACUCCUACGGGAGGCAGCAGUGGGGAAUAUUGCACAAUGGGCGCAAGCCUGAUGCAGCGACGCCGCGUGAGGGAUGACGGCCUUCGGGUUGUAAACCUCUUUCAGUAGGGAAGAAGCGAAAGUGACGGUACCUGCAGAAGAAGCGCCGGCUAACUACGUGCCAGCAGCCGCGGUAAUACGUAGGGCGCAAGCGUUAUCCGGAAUUAUUGGGCGUAAAGAGCUCGUAGGCGGUUUGUCGCGUCUGCCGUGAAAGUCCGGGGCUCAACUCCGGAUCUGCGGUGGGUACGGGCAGACUAGAGUGAUGUAGGGGA